rnacentral:rRNA from 1 species
UCGCUACUACCGAUUGAAUGGUUUAGUGAGCUUCACGGACUGGCGACCGCGGCAGGCAACUGCUGCGGUUGCUGGGAGGUGAAUCAAACUUGACCAUUUAGAGGAAGUAAAAGUCGUAACAAGGUUUCCGUAGGUGA